AUGCGAAAUCCCGCCGGGUGCGGGAUCGCCGGGGCGUGGCGGCUCCGGCCUGAUGAUGCAGCCGAAA
rnacentral:hammerhead_ribozyme from 1 species